rnacentral:lncRNA from 1 species
UGUGCGUGCCGGCAAAGUCAGGGAAUUUAAAAAUCUUCCUAGCUACACCUGCCAUAGAUUGUCUUUUGGGUAUUCAUCAGGCAUAGCUAGAGCAAAUUUACCUCUUCUCUAAAAGCUGUGACGAGAGACAAGAGGUGGGGAUAUGUAGAUGAGGAGUGCAACGCAUGCCAGUUCGAGCUCAUUCUUUUCGGGACAGAACUUUCCCAAAAUGUCCGAAACGAUGUAUCCUGGUCAGUGUCCUAUGAAUAAUCCUGCAGUUUCGAACCGUAUGCUUAAAGAACUCGGAAUAUAAUUGACCAUACGUAUAUAGUGUGCUGAGGGUGAGGGUGAGGAGGCUAGGCGAGGCUGGCAACUCAUACUUACCUGGCAGGGGAGAUACCAUGAUCACGAAGGUGGUUUUCCCAGGGCGAGGCUUAUCCAUUGCACUCCGGAUGUGCUGACCCCUGCGAUUUCCCCAAAUGUGGGAAACUCGACUGCAUAAUUUGUACGAAGGUGGUUUUCCCAGGGCGAGGCUUAUCCAUUGCACUCCGGAUGUGCUGACCCCUGCGAUUUCCCCAAAUGUGGGAAACUCGACUGCAUCCUACACCACAGCUCAUGGCAACGCUGGAUCAUUAACCCACUGAGCAAGCGCAGGGACCGAACCAGCAACCUCAUGGUUCCUAGUUGGAUUCGUUAACCACUGUGCCACGACGGGACCUCCACUUUUAUGUUUUUUUAACUCUUUGCCCGUGGUGUGCAGUGGCUUGAUGUGGGAUGUCAGUUCCCAGAUGUGCCGACCCCUGGGAUCUCUCCGGAUGGGACCGAACCCAGGCUGCACUGGUAAAAGUGCUAAGUCCUAACCAGUAGAUCACCAGGGAACUCCAUAAAAUCGUUUUGCCCCAAAGGGAGGUAACAGUCACAGGUUCCAGGGAUUGGGGCGGGGACAUGUUGGUGGGUUGUUAGUCAGCUACCGCAUCAAGCAAGGCCGGGGACAGAGUCGUCGGGCGCUGCCGAGUGAUGUCACUAUGUGAUGCUUGGAGUAUGUAGAUGAGCGCAGUGGCUGCUGGUCCUGUUCCCUUUCUGCAUACUGUGCUUACUUUUGGCAGGAGUUCCAGCGUCCAGCGUGUUUUCGCCAGGCUUUUGUAGCUUUGAGGCGUCGUUUGGGUGCAGGCGGUGGUGUAGCGGGUCCGUGACUGGAGUGACCGUCUGUGCGAAGUGUCUGGGGUCGGAGGGUGAGGAGGCAGGCGAGGCCGGCAACUCAUACUUACCUGGCAGGGGAGAUACCAUGAUCACGAAGGUGGUUUUCCCAGGGCGAGGCUUAUCCAUUGCACUCCGGAUGUGCUGACCCCUGCGAUUUCCCCAAAUGUGGGAAACUCGACUGCAUAAUUUGUGGUAGUGGGGGACUGCGUUCGCGCUUUCCCCUGGUGUUGCUGGUACAAAAAAAAGUCUUCGUUUGCUUUUUUUUUUUUUUUUUUUUUUUUUUCUCCUCCAGUAGCUUUUUGUGUGUGAGUGUAAUAAAUGCGUUAGAAUAAGAACUCUUUUUUUUUAU